rnacentral:rRNA from 1 species
UACGUAGGGUGCAAGCGUUGUCCGGAAUUAUUGGUCGUAAAGAGCUCGUAGGCGGUCUGUCGCGUCUGCUGUGAAAACUCAGGGCUUAACCCUGAGCUUGCAGUGGGUACGGGCAGACUAGAGUGCGGUAGGGGAGACUGGAAUUCCUGGUGUAGCGGUGAAAUGCGCAGAUAUCAGGAGGAACACCGGUGGCGAAGGCGGGUCUCUGGGCCGUAACUGACGCUGAGGAGCGAAAGCAUGGGGAGCGAACAGG